CAGGACUCUCUCUAACCCCCAUUUCCCCUCCAUCUCUCUCCACCGCCCGCCGAAAAUCAUCUCACGUCGGGGGGCCACCUCCAAACAACUCCAAAUCAUUACCCUGCAAUCACCAGCCUUUCCUCAUUUCAAAUCCAUUAUUAGUUUUCCAGAAAUCCCUUCCAAUAUUUUCAUUUAGUAGAUCUAGAAUCGGACCAAAACCUAAAACUUCACCUUUCUUUCUCUUUAAUCUUUGCCCGAAUGAAGUUAAAACUCACACCAAUCGAUGUAUCUUGAUGAGUGCUGUCAAUUCGUGUUAGUCUUAUCCCAUUUUGUGGCUGCUAGAAUCCUAUCAAACCCUGGUUGAUCGUCCAGUUCCCCUCAUCACCUUGCAUCAUCUCCUCCGACCUAGCGAAAGGUAUUUCUACAUAUAGAACUGGCCGGCGUAAAAUAAUUUCGGUUAGUGCAAGUUUAAUAAUUCCCCCGGCUCACCAAAAUUUUUGUUGGCCGCUUGUGUUAAUCUAAUAGGUUGUUCAGUAUCGAUUUGAAAGAAUGAACUGCAUGAUAGAAGUUUUAAGUUGGGAGAGCUGACCAAGUUGGACUUUUUAGCAUUUCAUCUCAGAUUGGAGUUUUGAUGGUUUUAUUAGAUCUGGAUGGUGAUUUUGGAUUCGGUCGUAUUUUCGGAUUUGCAAUUGGAUAUUUCUAGAAGGAUUCGGCACUAAUUGGCGAAAAUUGGAAUUUGAUGGUUUGGAAAAGUUCAUUAA